rnacentral:rRNA from 1 species
GAUGAACGCUGGCGGCAUGCCUAAUACAUGCAAGUCGAACGAGAGGAAGGAAAGCUUGCUUUCCUAAAUCUAGUGGCGAACGGGUGAGUAACACGUAGGUAACCUGCCCAUGUGCCCGGGAUAACUUCUGGAAACGGAUGCUAAAACCGGAUAGGUAGCAGACAAGCAUUUGACUGCUAUUAAAGUGGCUAAGGCCAUGAACAUGGAUGGACCUGCGGUGCAUUAGCUAGUUGGUGAGGUAACGGCCCACCAAGGCGACGAUGCAUAGCCGGCCUGAGAGGGCGGACGGCCACAUUGGGACUGAGACACGGCCCAAACUCCUACGGGAGGCAGCAGUAGGGAAUUUUCGUCAAUGGGGGGAACCCUGAACGAGCAAUGCCGCGUGAGUGAGGAAGGUCUUCGGAUCGUAAAGCUCUGUUGUAAGUGAAAAACGGCACUCAUAGGGAAUGAUGAGUGAGUGAUGGUAUCUUACCAGAAAGUCACGGCUAACUACGUGCCAGCAGCCGCGGUAAUACGUAGGUGGCGAGCGUUAUCCGGAAUGAUUGGGCGUAAAGGGUGCGUAGGUGGCAGAUCAAGUCUGGAGUAAAAGGUAUGGGCUCAACCCGUACUUGCUCUGGAAACUGAUCAGCUAGAGAACAGAAGAGGACGGCGGAACUCCAUGUGUAGCGGUAAAAUGCGUAGAUAUAUGGAAGAACACCGGUGGCGAAGGCGGCCGUCUGGUCUGGAUUCUGACACUGAAGCACGAAAGCGUGGGGAGCAAAUAGGAUUAGAUACCCUAGUAGUCCACGCCGU